rnacentral:ncRNA from 1 species
UCCUUCCUUGUCAUGGGGAGCAUGAUACUCUAUGAACGUUUAGUGAGAGUAUUUAUGCUGACACCAUUUAUUUAAAUAACCCCCCGUACGCUUUUGUCUAAAGUGUAUGGAAUUUUUGGAAAA